rnacentral:lncRNA from 1 species
UUUCUUUUGAAAAAUAAAUAUGCUAUGAUGCACAUGAUGCAGACUGGACUGGCUGGUUGGUUGUGCAAUUCUGAUUACUAGGUCGAAGCUUCAGUCAAAAUCAGAACCCAAAUCCAACUUAAGGUCAACUGAAUACACUGUCUGAACACAAAGUCACCAACAGAACCAAGUCACCAACGGUACCUGUAAUGAUCAACCCUUCCCCACUCACGGGUGUAGUCUAGGCUAGGGUAAGGCUGAGAGAAACGCAGCAUAAAU